AGCGGCGAACGGAUGAGUAACACGUAGGUGAUCUGCCCAUCAGACGGGGACAACGAUUGGAAACGAUCGCUAAUACCGGAUAGGACGAAAGUUUAAAGGUGCUUCUGGCACCGCUGAUGGAUGAGCCUGCGGCGCAUUAGCUAGUUGGUAGGGUAAAGGCCUACCAAGGCGACGAUGCGUAGCCGACCUGAGAGGGUGAACGGCCACACUGGGACUGAGACACGGCCCAGACUCCUACGGGAGGCAGCAGUAGGGAAUCUUCGGCAAUGGGCGAAAGCCUGACCGAGCAACGCCGCGUGAAUGAUGAAGGCCUUCGGGUUGUAAAAUUCUGUUAUAAGGGAAGAACGACUUUAGUAGGAAAUGGCUAGAGUGUGACGGUACCUUAUGAGAAAGCCACGGCUAACUACGUGCCAGCAGCCGCGGUAAUACGUAGGUGGCGAGCGUUAUCCGGAAUUAUUGGGCGUAAAGAGCGCGCAGGUGGUUGAUUAAGUCUGAUGUGAAAGCCCACGGCUUAACCGUGGAGGGUCAUUGGAAACUGGUCGACUUGAGUGCAGAAGUGGGAAGUGGAAUUCCAUGUGUAGCGGUGAAAUGCGUAGAGAUAUGGGGGAACACCAGUGGCGAAGGCGGCUUCCUGGUCUGUAACUGACACUGAGGCGCGAAAGCGUGGGGAGCAAACAGGAUUAGAUACCCUGGUAGUCCACGCCGUGAACGAUGAGUGCUAAGUGU
rnacentral:rRNA from 1 species